rnacentral:rRNA from 1 species
UACCGCCGUCGUCAGCUUACCCUAUGAAGGCCCCUUAGUAAGCACAAUUGGUACAACCCAAAACGUCAGGUCGAGGUGUAGCGUAUGGAAAGGGAAGAAAUGGGCUACAUUCCUUAAUCACAAGGAAUUACGAAAAAUAUUACUGAAACGUGUAUCUAGAAGGAGGAUUUAGCAGUAAGCAGAAAAUAGAGCGUUCCGCUGAAACUGGCCCUGAAGCGCGCACACACCGCCCGUCACUCUCCCCAAACGCACCCAUGCAAUUUAACUUAAAACCUUUCAACAGCAAAGGGGAGGCAAGUCGUAACAUGGUAAGUGUACCGGAAGGUGCACUUGGCAAAA